rnacentral:rRNA from 1 species
UGCUUCUUGUAAUAAUUAUAAGAAGUAAUUCCUGCCCAGUGACACUCGUUCAACGGCCGCGGUAUCCUAACCGUGCAAAGGUAGCAUAAUCACUUGCCCAUUAAUUGUGGGCUAGAAUGAAAGGACCAACGAAAUAAAUACUGUCUCUAUAAGUCAAUUAAAAAUUAAUCUCUAACUGAAGAGUGUUAGAUAUAUUCGAAGGACAAGAAGACCCUAUAGAGCUUCAUUUUAAUAAAAAUUAUAAAUUUUACUAAAAUUCGGUUGGGGCGACCUGGGAAGUAAUUAAUCAUCCCACUAUAACAGAUAAAUAAAUCUACCCUCUGACCCUUAAUAAAGAUCAUCAAAAUAAGCUACCUUAGGGAUAACAGGCUAAUCCCUCUAAAGAGUCCUUAUCAAUAGUGGGGGUUGGCACCUCGAUGUUGGCUUAGGGAAUCUAUACGGCGCAAAAGUCGUAUAAAGAUGGUUUGUUCAA